CAUAUAUUUCUUUAACAGUUUCAAAUCAUAUGGCAUUUUCAUAAAACUUUACAGCUAUCUCUUUUUAACACCAUUCUUACAAAUUGCAAAAUUUGUUUUUCCUUUAGAUUUUAGAUUUGUUGCUGUCUUAUUUUAUGCUUUCAAAUAAAAGAUGAAAACUCUAAUGUGCGUUCGAAGACAGUAACCAACAAUGUCACACCAACUCCUGUCUGUAAUAAUAUUCUUUAAGAGGAAAUUAAACACAAAAAGUGACAACUAGGUAAAAAAGAUAAACAGUUAAAAACCAAAGAAACAUUCAUUUGUAAACAAGAUGCCGAAAUCAAAUUAAUGAAAAAGGAACUGGCCACGAACAGAGCACGCACUUUUAAAUGAGAACAAUAUAAAAGGAACUUAAACAUUCUUUAUUAAUUCAGCAGCAGAAGUUUAACAUCAUAAUCAUGAAUCAUCUUCUUUCAAUUGGGAUGUAAACUCUAGAUCAUAUGCCAUGGAACAACAUGUCCGAUUACUGGAAUCGAACUACUUAAACAGGGCAAUGAAAUUAUAAAUUUGGCUGAUGCAUUUAUUGAUUUCAAAAUAGAAAAUGGUCGCAAACAAACGAAAACCAAAAAGAACAAAAAAAAAAAGAGAAUAGUAAACAAUCAGCAGACCAGCACAUAUUUGAUAACUCCACAAAUGACACAUGUACAAAUGCAUUUUUUGAUCCAGAAUUCGACUCGCGUGACGAGACGAACACAUGCAUAUUCACAAUAUCUCUGAUACCGAACAGUCUCAUUGUUAAGACUAUGCUCUAGCACAGAAGUGGCACUAACCACAUAUGUAUAACUCACCACCAAAGAAUCCAAUGUAACAGCCACUAUGCACCAUUAAGACCGUGGAAUUCGAAAAAAAGUUCGCCAUCCACACGCCCAACAACAACAAAUGAUAAAAAAUUACAAGAUAUUAGAACACUCUCAAAUGGCAGAGGGUUGGAGUGGGAGUGACUCCUAGGGAAAUAAUUACCAUGUACAAAUGAUGUAUAUCAUUCAAAUCAUCUUGGCAUGGCAAGUCCAGAAAAGCGAUUCGAACGCAUGAAAUUUAUAAACUGUUUUAUUUUUACGAUUGACAGAUAUAGCCGAUCUGCAUGGUUUGCCAUCUACAUGCCACCAUCUGUAAAAUUUUAACGGGAGCUCCAUCAGAGGGACAGAAAUGGCCGAUCUACAUGGUAUUCCAUCUAAAUGCCACCAUGUAUAAAAUUUAAUGUAAGCUCCAUCAAAAGGACAGAUAAAGCCAAUCUGCAAGGCAUUCCAUCUACAUACCACCAUAUAUGCCAUAUCUAAAAUUUUAAUGUUAGCUCCAUCAUAAGGAGCCAACGGAACAUCACAACAAACGAAAACAAGAAUAAACAAAAGAAAAUUAGAAUACGAAAAUGAUCAAAUAUCGUCUGUUUAUCAAAAAUGUUGUUCUGAGACAUUUUAACCCUUUUUUACCUUUUGAAUUUGUUUAUGUUUUAUUUAUGAUUUAUGUGAAUAUCCGAAAAUUCUUUUUUUCAGCUCGACCGCCC
rnacentral:lncRNA from 1 species